rnacentral:rRNA from 1 species
UACAGAGGAUGCAAGCGUUAUCCGGAAUGAUUGGGCGUAAAGCGUCUGUAGGUGGCUUUUUAAGUCCGCCGUCAAAUCCCAGGGCUCAACUCUGGACAGGCGGUGGAAACUACCAAGCUGGAGUACGGUAGGGGCAGAGGGAAUUCCUGGUGUAGCGGUGAAAUGCGCAGAUAUCAGGAGGAACACCAGCGGCGAAGGCGGCGCUCUGGGCCGGUACUGACACUGAGGAGCGAAAGCGUGGGUAGCAAACAGG